rnacentral:rRNA from 1 species
GACGUAGGAUGCGAGCGUUGUCCGGAUUUAUUGGGCGUAAAGAGUUCGUAGGUGGUUCGUUAAGUCUGAUGUUAAAGACUGGGGCUCAACCCUGGGAGUGCAUUGGAUACUGGCGGACUUGAGUGUAGUAGAGGCAAGCGGAAUUCCCAGUGUAGCGGUGAAAUGCGUAGAUAUUGGGAAGAACACCGGUGGCGCAGGCGGC